rnacentral:rRNA from 1 species
UACGGAGGGUGCAAGCGUUAAUCGGAAUUACUGGGCGUAAAGCGUGCGCAGGCGGUUUUGUAAGCCAGAUGUGAAAUCCCCGGGCUCAACCUGGGAAUGGCAUUUGGGACUGCAAGGCUCGAGUGCGGCAGAGGAGACUGGAAUUCCUGGUGUAGCAGUGAAAUGCGUAGAGAUCAUGAGGAAGACCAGUGGCGAAGGCGGGUCUCUGGACAGUUCCUGACACUGAGGCACGAAGGCCAGGGGAGCAAACGGG